UGGGGAAUAUUGGACAAUGGGCGCAAGCAUGAUCCAGCAAUGCCGCGUGAGUGAUGAAGGCCUUAGGGUUGUAAAGCUCUUUUACCCGGGAUGAUAAUGACAGUACCGGGAGAAUAAGCCCCGGCUAACUUCGUG
rnacentral:rRNA from 1 species